rnacentral:rRNA from 1 species
AUUGAACGCUGGCGGCAGGCUUAACACAUGCAAGUCGAGCGGGGUGAUGGUGCUUGCACUAUCACUUAGCGGCGGACGGGUGAGUAAUGCUUAGGAAUCUGCCUAUUAGUGGGGGACAACAUCUCGAAAGGGAUGCUAAUACCGCAUACGUCCUACGGGAGAAAGCAGGGGAUCACUUGUGACCUUGCGCUAAUAGAUGAGCCUAAGUCGGAUUAGCUAGUUGGUGGGGUAAAGGCCUACCAAGGCGACGAUCUGUAGCGGGUCUGAGAGGAUGAUCGGCCACCCUGGGACUGAGACACGGCCCAGACGCCUACGGGAGGCAGCAGUGGGGAAUAUUGGACAAUGGGGGGAACCCUGAUCCAGCCAUGCCGCGUGUGUGAAGAAGGCCUUAUGGUUGUAAAGCACUUUAAGCGAGGAGGAGGCUCUUUUGGUUAAUACCCAAGAUGAGUGGACGUUACUCGCAGAAUAAGCACCGGCUAACUCUGUGCCAGCCGCCGCCGUAA